GACGAACGCUGGCGGCGUGCUUAACACAUGCAAGUCGAACGGAAAGGCCCUGCUUUUGUGGGGUGCUCGAGUGGCGAACGGGUGAGUAACACGUGAGUAACCUGCCCUUGACUUUGGGAUAACUUCAGGAAACUGGGGCUAAUACCGGAUAGGAGCUCCUGCUGCAUGGUGGGGGUUGGAAAGUUUCGGCGGUUGGGGAUGGACUCGCGGCUUAUCAGCUUGUUGGUGGGGUAGUGGCUUACCAAGCCUUUGACGGGUAGCCGGCCUGAGAGGGUUACCGGCCACAUUGGGACUGAGAUACGGCCCAGACUCCUACGGGAGGCAGCAGGGGGGAAUAUUGCACAAUGGGCGGAAGCCUGAUGCAGCAACGCCGCGUGCGGGAUGACGGCCUUCGGGUUGUAAACCGCUUUCGCCUGUGACGAAGCGUGAGUGACGGUAAUGGGUAAAGAAGCACCGGCUAACUACGUG
rnacentral:rRNA from 1 species